GCCUCGGUAGCUCAGCGGUUAGAGUUGACCGCUCAUAACGGUUAGGUCGCAGGUUCGAAUCCUGCCCGAGGCACCA
rnacentral:tRNA from 3 species